AGAGGUUAGGUAAUUUGCUCAGGGGCAAGCAGAUAAGUAAUCAGGAAGUCAUCAUUAGAUGCGACCUGCCCUGAUUCCACAGCCCACACCCUUCAGUUCAUGCUAAGGCCUUCCCAGGACAAGCGUACCCAGCCACCUGUUGGGGGUGGAAGGGCCCAGGAAGAAGAAGGGUGUUGGAUUUCUGGUCAGUCUUGGCUUUGGGCUGGUGCCUGUAGAAGGGGCAGAGCUGAGAGACGGACUGAGUCACUUCUAGCAAAAUUGGUUGAGAAUCGUGGGACGGGUGAUGCGUGCUUGCUGUGCGGGGAUUGAAGGAGCAUUGAGAACCUAUUGGCCA
rnacentral:lncRNA from 1 species